CGCUUUUUGGUUUGAUUGAUUCAUAAGACCGCUAGACGCUCUCUCUUUUGCUUUGGGAUAAAAGGCUGGCUUCG
rnacentral:tRNA from 1 species